GCAGUCGUGGCCGAGUGGUUAAGGAGAUGGACUAGAAAUCCAUCGGGGUCUCCCCGCACAGGUUCAAAUCCUGUCGACUGCG
rnacentral:tRNA from 1 species